UACGUAGGGUGCAAGCGUUAUCCGGAAUUAUUGGGCGUAAAGCGUGCGCAGGCGGUUCGUUGUGUCGGCGGUGAAAGCCCCGGGCUUAACCUGGGAAUGGCCGUUGAAACUGGCGAACUGGAGUGUGGCAGAGGGGGGUGGAAUUCCGACGUGUAGCAGUGAAAUGCGUAGAGAUGUGGAGGAACACCGAUGGCGAAGGCAGCCCCCUGGGCCAAAACUGACGCUCAGGCACGAAAGCGUGGGGAGCAAACAGG
rnacentral:rRNA from 1 species